rnacentral:lncRNA from 1 species
AAGUUUCCAGGACACAUUUGGAUAACGGUUGAUUAGUUAACUUUCUUACGCAACCCGCCCGCAUUCCGCCCGCGGCCGGGGCCCGGAAUGCGGCCGCGUCACCUCCUUAUCACUGCUGCGGCUGUCGAGGACACCAAAUCCAUAAAACGUAACCAAAUCCCCAGCGGUGUUACUUAACACAAUAUCAUUCUGGAAGGUGCCGGAGCUGCACUGUGGCGCGAAAAGGACGAAGGAUGGUGUGGAUUGAAAUUUACGCCAUGCACGAUGCAUGUGUCAUUCAUAUAUUUCAUAUAUAUGCUGGAAUCGACCAUCAGGUGCUUCUCCUCUGCCAGGUUGCAAAGGACACAUGCCCUGGAGACUUACAGGACUCUGUCCGCAUUUACCUCAGGAUGUCGACCGAGUCUGUAGUCAGCUGCAUCAGCGAGCUGACUAUCAUCCACGUCAUGAACAACUUCGCCACGCGUAGACGUGACCCUCACAAUCCAAGUAACCCCAUAAGUCUUAUAAACUGUAACGAAACUAGCCGGUAAGCGAAGCAAUCCCUGUUAAGCCUCCUGCAUCCGGCCAGUGUUUUUUAUGUUUGUGGUGUUCACACAGGUUUAAAAAACUUUUCUUGCAGCCCUACGCCCACGGUCUUGGAAUGAUUCGAACCCCCAGCAGCGUGUCCAACGAUCCAAGGAGAAUUAGCAGGUUGCAUCUCUAAACCUGCGCCAAAAUCUUGCGUGUGAUUUACCUCGGCUGAGGCUGACGGCGCGGGGAUUGAUCGAUCGUGUAAAAUG